rnacentral:rRNA from 1 species
GAUGAACGCUAGCGGCAGGCUUAAUACAUGCAAGUCGAGGGGCAGCACGGUUAGCAAUAACUGGUGGCGACCGGCGCACGGGUGCGUAACACGUAUACAAUCUACCUUAAACAGGGGGAUAGCCUUUCGAAAGAGAGAUUAGUACCCGUAAUAAAUUGAACGGCAUCGUUUGAUUUUGAAAGCUCCGGCGGUUUGAGAUGAGUAUGCGUCUGAUUAGCUAGUUGGUGAGGUAACGGCUCACCAAGGCGACGAUCAGUAGGGGAUCUGAGAGGACUAACCCCCACACUGGUACUGAGACACGGACCAGACUCCUACGGGAGGCAGCAGUAAGGAAUAUUGGUCAAUGGAGGCAACUCUGAACCAGCCAUGCCGCGUGCAGGAUGACGGCCCUAUGGGUUGUAAACUGCUUUUAUACAAGAGAAAACCCUGGUACGUGUACCAGGUUGAUAGUAUUGUAAGAAUAAGCAUCGGCUAACUUCGUGCCAGCAGCCGCGGU